AAGAUUACACGUUGAAGAAAAAGCUUCUAACUUUACUCCUUAAGCGGUUAGACUCCGUUUUAAUCUUU
rnacentral:tRNA from 1 species